rnacentral:tRNA from 1 species
GUUUCAGGAAGUCGAGCGGGAGUGACUAGCCUUCCUUCAAAAGCCAGAUGGGUGCCUUCACCUCUGUAAUA